rnacentral:rRNA from 1 species
UACGGGGGGGGCAAGCGUUGUUCGGAAUUACUGGGCGUAAAGGGCGCGUAGGCGGUUGGAUAAGUCAGCUGUGAAAACCACGGGCUUAACUCGUGGCCUGCAGUUGAGACUGUCUGGCUUGAGUGUGGGAGAGGAGAGUGGAAUUCCUGGUGUAGCGGUGAAAUGCGUAGAUAUCGGGAGGAACACCAGUGGCGAAGGCGGCGAUCUGGGAAGAUACUGACGCUGAGGUGCGAAAGCGUGGGGAGCAAACAGG